rnacentral:rRNA from 1 species
CGGGUGAGUAACACGUGAGCAACCUGCCCCUGACUCUGGGAUAAGCGCUGGAAACGGCGUCUAAUACUGGAUACGAGUAGCGACCGCAUGGUCAGCUACUGGAAAGAAUUUUGGUUGGGGAUGGGCUCGCGGCCUAUCAGCUUGUUGGUGAGGUAAUGGCUCACCAAGGCGUCGACGGGUAGCCGGCCUGAGAGGGUGACCGGCCACACUGGGACUGAGACACGGCCCAGACUCCUACGGGAGGCAGCAGUGGGGAAUAUUGCACAAUGGGCGCAAGCCUGAUGCAGCAACGCCGCGUGAGGGAUGACGGCCUUCGGGUUGUAAACCUCUUUUAGCAGGGAAGAAGCGAAAGUGACGGUACCUGCAGAAAAAGCGCCGGCUAACUACGUGCCAGCAGCCGCGGUAAUACGUAGGGCGCAAGCGUUAUCCGGAAUUAUUGGGCGUAAAGAGCUCGUAGGCGGUUUGUCGCGUCUGCUGUGAAAUCCGGAGGCUCAACCUCCGGCCUGCAGUGGGUACGGGCAGACUAGAGUGCGGUAGGGGAGAUUGGAAUUCCUGGUGUAGCGGUGGAAUGCGCAGAUAUCAGGAGGAACACCGAUGGCGAAGGCAGAUCUCUGGGCCGUAACUGACGCUGAGGAGCGAAAGGGUGGGGAGCAAACAGGCUUAGAUACCCUGGUAGUCCACCCCGUAAACGUUGGGAACUAGUUGUGGGGUCCAUUCCACGGAUUCCGUGACGCAGCUAACGCAUUAA